rnacentral:lncRNA from 1 species
UUUUUAAAGUUCCUGUCGUGGCUCAGCAGAAAUGAAUCUGACUAGCAUCCAAGAAGACACAGGUUCGAUCCCUGGCCUCGCUCGGUGGGUUAAGGAUCCGGUGUUGCUGUGAGCUGUGGUGUAGGUUGCAGAUGUGGCUUGGAUCUGAUGUUUCUCUGGCUAUGGUGUAUGCCAGUGGCUACAGCUCUGAUUCAGCUCCUAGCCUGGGAACCUCCAUAUGCCAUGGGUGUGGCCCUAAAAAGACAAAAAAAAAAAAAGAAACUAAAAAGCUCUGAAUUAAAUAAAUACAUCAUUCUAAAAAGCCUGAUCCACUGGUCAUGUUUAAACUGACUUUGUGUCUUAAAAGCAAAGCUAUAAUGAUGCCAAGAUUAUAAAUCCUUUUACCUGAUUAUAGCAUCCUAAAAAUGACUUUGUACUAUUAAGUCCUUCCAUUUCCAUCCCUUCAACAUGUAUUUAGUGUUUUUCAUCAAUUUGUGUCAUUCAAAAAUGUACACUGUCAGAGUAUGCCAGUUGACCAAAGAUAUUAUUCUAGAUGUUCUCUUGCACAAGCUGGCAGUGGGGUACAGAAAAAUGGCUGAUAUGUUGUUCCUGCCAUUAAGAAGCCUGCAAUUUGGCUCAGUAAAAAAAAAAUUGGUCCAAAAUUAGCUUUAAUACAAGAAAGAUUAUUGAAAGCAUUGGUGGGAGAGGUAAAGACAUGGAGGGGGAGUGAGAAAUAAUAUUUGAACUGUAUUUAGGGGAUAGGCAGUGCCUUUGAUAAAAACGUUGGGAGAUAAUUCCAAGGAGAGAGUUCAGUGUGAGCCAAGGCACAGACUCACGAAAGCACAGGGUGCAUUUAGGUAAUGAAUCAUCUGGUAGGAUUUGAGUUUGGAGUAGAAAAGGGGACUAGAAAAUAUGGAUGAAAAUGAGGUAAGGCCAUUUUGAGAAGGCUUAAUAAUGUGCUAUGGAGGUAAGACCAUUCCUCUUGGUAAUGGGGAACCACAAAAGUAUGGUGAGUUUUUCUGUCAUUAAACCAUAUUCACAUUGUUUAUAAUAAGCAUAAAUGUAAAGAAAAAUAUAUACUUAGAAGCCAAAACCAUCAAAUAGCUUGAAUCACUUGAAACUGCCGUUUUUGAAAGUCAGUAACAGUCAAAUAUCCAUUUUCACCUUAAUUCAUCUUUAAGUCAGAAACGAGUAAUUUUGUCGUAACUUGUUUUAUUAGAAGACAUUCUUAAAAUGUUAUGCAAAUAAGAUUGAGAGUGGCAUCACUGUGAUUUAAUGCAAAAGUAGUGGAUUGCUUCUACACUUUUUCUGGUCAUCUACUAUGUCCUAAGCACACAUUACAAACUUCUAUUAAUGUAUUACUAGAUUCACAGUAAGGAUUAAUUAUGGUCAGAAUGUUUAUAUAAACUUCACCAGAUCAUUGGUAAGUAAAUGAUAGUGUUGGAUUUCAAAGUUCUUUUGCUUUUUGUUUAUUUGGGAUUUUAGCUUUGAUUAUUGCUGCUUUGGGGAGCUAAGCUAUUUCUGCAGCAGAAACAGCCAUUUCCUAGUGAAAAAUCAUAGAUUUGUGGAGCACAUGUCUGAACAAGACAGAAUCAGGUGAUGACUGAACAGCAGUCACCAAGAAAGACAUUGUCCUUUUUCUUAUGGAGCUUGUAUUCGAAUUGGGAGAUUGAGUUUAAAUUACUUGAAUUGAGAUAUAGAUUUAAAAAAAAAACACCAAAUACAAACUAGCUGCUCCACUAAAAUCAAGCUAUGUGCUACGAGACAUCGUACAGGUCAGUAUAAAGUACGUUGAUCCCAGGCCAGGAAGCAUGGCCCCAGACAUUUAAGUUAAGACCUGAGCAUUAGGCAUUAACAGGUAAGGGGAAUAAGAGGAUUUUAGGCAAAUAAAAUCACUUUUUUUUCCUAUUUUUGCCUUCUUCAAAAAAUAGCUCUAUCACACAGCAGAUGAGCUUGAAAGCAAAAGCAAGGGUGUUAAAGAACACACGAGUUCCACUCUGGCCCUGCCUCAUUCGUGGAUGUGGGUGUCAUCUCCAACAUCAACACCACCACAGUCAUCACACACAGGACCCCACACCCUCCUGAAUUUCUCCCUCUACUGUGCACACACUUUAUACGGAUGAACUGGGACGCCAGUACAUGUGAAGUAGGAAACUAGAUUAGGCUAUUCCGAAGCUCUGUUCUGUCCUCAUAAUCUGGCAUAUUGUGUUUCGGGUUCUUAUGCUGCCAUUAUUUGAAUAUGUCAUUUUAUCAGAAACAGGGCAUAGUGAAUAUAUGCGGUGGCAAAGGGCAGGAAACAAAGAGUCAAUUAAAUUGAUCUGGAUGCUUCUAGAUUCUAAAAGAAUGGUUUUCGAAGAGACGGGAAAACUGUGUACCCAUUGUGAAUGUUUGAAAGUUAUUUAUACACUAAUAAUGAAAUUAAUGCAGGGAGUUCCCAGUGUGGCUCAGCGGUAACAAACCCAACUACUAUCCAUGAGGCUGUGGAUUUGAUUCCUGGCCCUGCUCAGUGGGUUAAGGAUCUGGCAUUGCCGUGAGCUGUGGUGUAGAUCGCAGACACUUCUUGGAUCUGGCAUUGCUGUGGCUGUGGUGUAGGCCGGCAGCUGUAGCUCCAAUUCGAUCCCUAGCCUGGAAACUUGCAUUUGCCAUAGGUGCAGCCCUUAAAAAUUAAAAAAUAAAAAUAAAAUAAAAUUUAAUGCAAUUUCUUGAUCACCAAGGAGAUGGAAAGUUUGCUUUCAUAGAAGGAACAUUUUAAUUUAUUUGUUAUUAAAACAAAGGAUGUCAAAUAUUAAACUAUGUAGGCUAAUCAGAGAAAACAUUGAGAUUUGAGGGAGAAAAUAGUGGAAUAAAUCUGGUUUUUGGUUACCUUUCAAUCCUUUCUUUAUUCUGGUACUGAAUUCCUAAAGAGAGAAGAAUUCAUACUUCAGCUUCUAUGUAUUCCAUUAGCUUUGUUUAGGGAUCUUUUCCCUCUGAAUGUUCUAAAAAAUACCAUGCCCAAUACAAAUACAUUUCUAUGUUUUGAUAAUUAUGAAUAGAACUGCUAUAAACAUUCUCAUAUAGGUCUUUGUGGGGGUAUUUUACAUGGAUAAAUAUGUAGAAGAAAGACUCCUGGGUUGAAUGGUAAGUGUAUGCUUAACUUAUUCGGAAACUGCCAACUAUUUUUCCAAAGUGGCUAUAUCAUUCUUCAUUCCAGUUGGCAAUGUGUGAGUUUCAGUUGCUCAGAAUCUAGGCCAGCACAUGGUAGUGACAUCUAAAAAAUGUUUAGUCUUUCUAGUUGUUGUAUAAUGGUGUCUUAUUGUAGUUUUAAUUUGCAUUUCUCUAAUUCCUAACAGUGAGGAACAUCUUUGCGUGUGACUUUCCACCCAUUUCUCUGCUUAGGGGAAGUAUCUUAUUUUUAUUUUGUUCACUAAAAAAAUAAGUUCUUGGAGUUCCCGUCAUGGCUCAGUGGUUAACAAAUCUGACUAGGAACCAUGAGGUUGUGGGUUCGAUCCCUGGCCUUGCUCAGUGGGUUGGGGAUCCUGUGUUGUGGUGAGCUGUGGUGUAGGUUACAGACACAGCUUGGAUCCUGCAUUGCUGUAGCUAUGGAGUAGGCCGGAGGCUACAGCUCUGAUCAGACCCCUAGCCAGGGAACCUCCAUAU